rnacentral:lncRNA from 1 species
GAGAUAAACUGAACUUACAAGUGACAGAUGAAUGUUACAGCAUGUAGCUAAGAAAGCAACAUGUUCUUGGCUUUUUCCUACAGAAGAAAAAUCAAAGCACAGAUACAUGUUAGAAAUUAUCUGAAAAAGGUGAAAAAGAACUUCCAUUUCGUUGAGGAUAAGCAUAAUUUUGAUUCAGAAGACACCAUGACAACCAAAAGCAAUCAACACCAUCACUAGUUACUGUCAUUUGAUGUCAUCCAGAUUUGCUGCUUAAAAUUUCAAAACCAUAUAUUAAUCAUUCAAAUUUAAUUCAACUUAACGAUUAAGGAUGCUUCGUUGAUUCAUCGUAAAUAAAACUGUUGAUUGAUGAAAAGAUGCAUAGUUCUCCAUAAUGUCCCUGUCUCUGCAUUAUUACUCAACAACUUUUGCACUCUCAGACAUAUCAUAUCACCAGAUAUACGAGCCAUGAUUUGCUACAAUACUAUUAUUUUCGACAUCAAAAUGUUAAGGAUAGCAUGAGUUGUUGUACUUGUAAUUAUACUUACAAUAUAUUUAUUAUACUUCUAAUUCUGAAGAAACAUAAUUCUUCAAGGCCAAAGGCAUAUGUAGCAAAGAGUCUAUUUUUCAUUCUCUUUAUAUUACUUUUUUUCUUAAUAAUACGUUAGUUGAAGCUAGCUGUGACCUGUCAAAUUAAGUAAUUUCCAUUUAGUUUGAAGAUGCUUGAUAUAACAUUGGAACUUGGAAGUUUCUAUCUGUUAAAACCAGACCAGAGUUUGUUUGAUCGUAGUUUUUUUUAUGACUUGAUGGAUUUUGGAAUGUAUUUCUUCCUUUUUGUCGUAGGCAUAACAUGUGCAAUCAUUAUUAUUCCUAACGAACAAACAAUUACAAGAGUUUAUUUAUCCUAAUCUUAAUUUCUAAAACCUCAAAUCAAGGAGUUUGUUGUCACCAGACAUCACCAACUCCACUUUGAUGUCCAAUUAAACCCAACUAAACCGUUUUUGGUGUCUAUUUAUUGCCAUCAUCAGUGUGCGUAAUAAUUAGGAACUCAAUAAAUAAACUACAGUCUAUAUUAGUAAAAUGUAGUCUUUAAUCAUGAUGCUAAGAAGAAUGAAAAGCUAAACCUAAAAAGAACAGUAAAGCAAAGCUGAUUUAAGGGUGUUAUUAAUUUCUAUUACCAAAAUUUCAAACAGGGUUUGAAUCACAAAUUGACUUCUUCUUACUCAUAAUAAUCACAUCCAAGUGGCUAUAACUUCACUUUCAAUCUUUGGCAUAGUUUCCAUUGUUGAAACGUGACAAAACACCUGUAGCCAUCCGAUAAGACUACCACACACAUUUCUUCAAACUCACCUUAACUUCAUUUACUCUCACUCGGUUCCUUCUUCCUUCAUCAACUCCAUUUUCUUUUUCAUCCAAACAUGUCCUCCACUUACGCAAACCCAGCAACAUCAUACAAUCUCAUCUUCUUCUCAAUAUUACUCCUUUCUUUUGCAACAACAACAAAAUCCGACAACCCACCCUGCCCGUAUCCCUGUUACCCACCACCCACCGGAGUCGUCACGCCCACAACCCCUUCAACUGGCGGUGGUUCCACCGUUACACCGGCACCACCUCAACCCGUGUUAUCAUACCCGCCACCUUCUGGCUCCUACCCUUUUUACCCAACACCGCCUUACGGCGGCGGUGGCGACAACAGCGGCGGCGGAGGUGGUGUUUUUGCCACCCCGCCACCCCCUGAGCCUAUUCUUCCCUACUUUCCGUUCUACUACAGGAAGCCACCCCACAAGCCAGAAGACAACUCAGCACCGACCAGUUCGAAGAAACGGAAGGAGAUGGUUUUCAUAACUAGUUUGUUGUCGUUGCUUCUUCUCUUUGUAUAACUCUUUUCAUCGAAAUCUUCAUGUACUCUAAAUUGUUAAUUUAAUGCUUCUUCUUUUUUCCCUGUUGUGUUUAGAAAUAUAAUGUUAAGUUACCCACGUUUUUUGUUUUGUUGCGUUUAAGAAAAUGUUACUUUAUCUGUUGUUUGCGGCUGAGGUUUUAUGAGCAUGAUGUAGUUCUUCAGGGGAAGGGGAAAAACAGAGGAGGAAUUUCGAAUUGGUAGAGCUUGAGACAGAGGAAAACAAAAGAAUAAAAAUUCCGAAAUUUUGCUUGGUGAUUAAAUUAUUCGAUUUAUCAAUUUAUUAACUAAACUGUUUUUUUUAAGCAGGAAAUAAAUUGGUUUAAAUUUUGACCAUUUUUGUCUGAAUUGAAUUGAACUGAAUGGCGUGAUUAUUAGGAUAGAGUCACCGCUAAAUAUUUAUGUCACCUGCUUUGGAUAUGUAGAGCUCUUAUUUUCUUCUUUCUUUCGUUCUCUUUUCUUUUCUUUUCUACUUUAGUUGUUUGUUCUUAA